rnacentral:rRNA from 1 species
AUUGAACGCUGGCGGCAGGCCUAACACAUGCAAGUCGAGCGGGGGUAGCAAUACCCUAGCGGCGAACGGGUGAGGAAUGCUUGGGAAUCUGCCUCGUAGUGGGGGGAUAACGUUCCGAAAGGAACGCUAAUACCGCAUACGUCCUACGGGAGAAAGGGGGGGAUCUUCGGACCUCUCGCUAUGAGAUGAGCCCAAGCGGGAUUAGCUAGUUGGUGAGGUAAAGGCUCACCAAGGCUACGAUCCCUAGCUGGUCUGAGAGGAUGAUCAGCCACACUGGAACUGAGACACGGUCCAGACUCCUACGGGAGGCAGCAGUGGGGAAUAUUGGACAAUGGGCGAAAGCCUGAUCCAGCCAUGCCGCGUGUGUGAAGAAGGCCUUCGGGUU